CAUUGGCGGAGACAACACAGACGGACAGAGUUGAGGCGUCUCGAGUGUAAGAGGUAAGUGCCGCGGCCUGCUUUCCCGGGCCUGCCUUUUACGUUGUUCGCAGCUCCUUCUGAUACCGUGCCCUUGCCAUUCUCAGACCCGUAACCUCACUACUCUCAGCUGUGGCCUGUUGCUGGAUUGACUGCGAUUUCUGGCUGUCUGCUUCCCUGCCUGCUGACCGAGAGCAAGUGGCCGACAGCUACGGAAGAUGAAGCUCUCUCUGGUGGCCGCGGUGCUGCUG
rnacentral:other from 1 species